UAUUUUUACUAUCACAACGGUCAGCAUGUGGUACACGUUCGGUGGAGGAACCAGACUGGAUGUUGGAAGUGAUGUCCGUCCCACCCUGACGGUGCUGCCCCCCUCCAGUGAGGAGCUGCUGAAGGGGAAGGCCACGCUCAUGUGCCUGGCCAACAAGGGCUUCCCCUCAGACUGGAGUCUGGCCUGGAAGGUGGACGGCAGCAGCAGAAGCUGGGAGGAGAGCAGGAGCCCCGGGGUGCUGGGGAAGGACGGCCACUACAGCUGGAGCAGCACCCUGAGGCUCCCUGCAGACCAGUGGGGGAAGGUGGGCUCUGUGACCUGUGAGGCCUCCCAGGGCUCCCAGACUCCGCUCUCAGAGACACUGAGGAGAGACCAGUGUUCCCAGUCCUGACCUGAUUCACUGGGACUCUGCUACUGGUUUCACUCUGAUACUGAUCCCAGUCUG